rnacentral:rRNA from 1 species
CCUACGGGAGGCAGCAGUGGGGAAUUUUGCGCAAUGGGGGCAACCCUGACGCAGCAACGCCGCGUGAGUGAUGAAGGCCUUCGGGUCGUAAAGCUCUGUCAGAGGGGAAGAAAUGCAGGUGGUGAACAACCAUUCUGUUUGACGGUACCCUCAAAGGAAGCACCGGCUAACUCCGUGCCAGCAGCCGCGGUAAUACGGAGGGUGCGAGCGUUGUUCGGAAUUAUUGGGCGUAAAGCGCGUGUAGGCGGUUUGUUAAGUCGGAGGUGAAAGCCCCGGGCUCAACCGGGAAAGUGCAUUGGAUACUGGCAGACUUGAGUACGGGAGAGGAGAGUGGAAUUCCCAGUGUAGGAGUGAAAUCCGUAGAUAUGGGGAGGAACACCGGUGGCGAAAGCGGCCUCCUGGACGGUUACUGACGCUGAGACGCGAAAGCGGGGGGAGCAAACAGGAUUAGAUCCCCUGGUAGU